rnacentral:lncRNA from 1 species
GAACAUACGACUAUUUUACAUUUAAGUUAUGAGAAUAGGAUCAUUCCGAAAUUAUCGAUGCUAAAGUGCUUGCUGGGAUCCGAUCAUGAUGUGGCCAGACUUUUGAAACGAUGCAGCUGGUUUCUGUCAGCCGAUUUGGAGAAAACCUUAAUGCCAAAUAUGGAAAUCUUGAAGAGCUAUUGCAUACCAAUGGAGCGUAUCCUUUAUUUUCUCCAUCUUCGCCCGAGAUAUUUCGUGGUCAAGCCGGAUAUUAUGCAGAAAUCUGUAGUCAGGGCUAUAGAAUUUGGGGUCCCUUGGACUCAAGGCGUUUUUAUCCACGCUGUGAGUCUUUUCACUUAUACGAGUGAAGGGAUGUGGGAAGUCAAGGUGCAAAUGCUCCGCGAUUUGGGAUUUUCUGAUGAUGAUAUACUCACAAUAUUUAGGAAGCAACCAUUGGUUUUCUCACAAUCUGGGAAGAAAAUGAAGAAUGUCACAGAGCUUCUGCUUGCUACCGGUAAGUACGAUCUAUCCAGCAUUGUCACUUGUCCAGUAACACUCAUGUGUAGUAUGAAGAAGAGGCUUGAGCCGCGUCUGCAAAUACUUAGACUCUUGGAAAGUAGGAGUCUGAUUGAAAAGUGGCCAAAACUGUCAGCUGUUGCUACAUUAAUAGAGGAUAGAUUUUUUGACAGAUUUGUUGAGCCUUAUCGUGAUGAGAUUGACGAAGAACACAUCACAAAGAUAUAUGUCAAGACAAAAAGAGAUGAAACUUUGUAAGCAACGAGUUUCGCCUUUGCAAUCGGAAGCUCAAAGUUUUGGUCCCUGUCCUGCUGUGAGUUUGAAAGCAUACUGCGAUGAUGUGGCGUCGGAGGGCUGAUGAACUUGGAGAAGGCCUUGAGCUAGCUAAAGAAGCCAUGGUGAUUCAAAUGGAUUGUUAGUUUAUAUUCUAAACUUUCUUAUAUUGGAUGCAUUUUGAAGCAAUUGCUGUAGAGUUGGAGCUGACUGGAUUCAGCUGAGUUCGGAGGAAUUAAUAUGAUUUUUUUUGUUUUUUGUUUUUUUUUUUAAUGAUCAGUAAGCGAAAUAUGCUGUUGUGAAUCCUUGUGGCUUUUUCCAGUGUUUCUCAAUUUCUCACCUCAUUAAUGUAACUUCCUUCUAUUUCUCAAUACAUUUGGUUGGAAAUGCUCUUAUUUUGAGAGUGUUAAUUGGAAACGGCAGUCAUCAGAAAUCGAAUAAUGGAGUAGAAUUGUUGAUGUGAUUUCGUAGACAAUAGAAAAAAUCUCGAUCGAUUAACUUAUGCGAGCAUUAAAUAGAGCAGGGUGCACACAAAUAUUUUAUCCGAUGAACAGUUUGCAUUUCAUUGAAACAUUUAAGCUCAAUAGCUAAAUCAUACAUUUGAAAAAUAAGUCCAUCUGAUUAGGCAAUGUCUGUCGUUUAUUCUUAACUUUGAAUCGGAAUAGCAACGCUAGUCCUCACGACCCACAAAGCUUUCAAGAAAUCUAUAAUCUUAAUAGGUCCUCUUAAUCUAAUCUUAAAUCAUAAUGAANUCCAAUGCUCAUCUCUUCCCGUCAAUCCAUUUCUUCUCCACUUGGAGGGUGAAAAACCUAAUCCGUAACCCUAAAAUCUACGAUCUAUUGGUCAACAAACACCAAUUUCCUCCUGAUUUAGCUUCACUAGCUUCAUCGUGUUUACCUAAAGCUAGUAGCCCCAUAGGAGCUGAUUCAGUAGUGUCAUUCCUCAAAGAGAAUAGCUUUACGGCUACUCAGCUGCAGAAAGUCGUCACAUAUGAUUCUCGAAUUCUAGGGUUUACCAUUGAGAGCAUUAAUUUCAAAUUCAAGGUAUUCCAAAAUUUGGGCCUUUCCCCCAAGGAGAUUGCCAAGAUAAUAUUCGAAAAUACGACUAUUUUACAUUCAAGUUAUGAGAAUAGGAUCAUUCCGAAAUUAUCGAUGCUAAAGUGCUUGCUGGGAUCCGAUCAUGAUGUGGCCAGACUUUUGAUACGAUGCAGCUGGUUUCUGUUAGCCGAUUUGGAGAAAACCUUAAUGCCAAAUAUGGAAAUCUUGAAGAGCUAUAGCAUACCAAUGGAGCGUAUCCUUUAUUUUCUCCAUCUUCGCCCGAGAUGUUUCGUGGUCAAGCCGGAUAUUAUGCAGAAAUCUGUAGUCAGGGCUAUAGAAUUUGGGGU